rnacentral:rRNA from 1 species
UACGUAGGGGGCAAGCGUUGUCCGGAUUUAUUGGGCGUAAAGAGCGUGUAGGCGGCUUUGCAAGUCCGUUGUGAAAACUCGAGGCUCAACCUCGAGACGCCGGUGGAAACUGCAAAGCUAGAGUCCGGAAGAGGAGAGUGGAAUUCCUGGUGUAGCGGUGAAAUGCGCAGAUAUCAGGAGGAACACCGGUGGCGAAGGCGCUCAUCUGGCCCAAUACUGACGCUGAAGCUCGAAAGCUAGGGGAGCAAACGGG